rnacentral:rRNA from 1 species
CACGGGGGGAGCAAGCGUUGUUCGGAAUCACUGGGCGUAAAGGGCGUGUAGGCGGUGCGGUAAGUGAGAUGUGAAAUCCCUCGGCUCAACCGGGGAACUGCGUCUGAUACUGGAUGGCUUGAAUUCGGGAGAGGGAUGCGGAAUUCCAGGUGUAGCGGUGAAAUGCGUAGAUAUCUGGAGGAACACCGGUGGCGAAGGCGGGUCUCUGGGCCGAUAUCGACGCUGAGGAGCGAAAGCGUGGGGAGCGAACAGG